UUCAAGCCCAAGUUUCUCAGUCCACAUAACAAAGAGAUACAGGCGGGCCACACACACAGAGAGACCUUCCCUUUAAAUCCUUUAACUUCCGUCUCAUUGGGCCUUGGAAGGGUUGCCACUCAGAAAGUCAAUAUAAACUACCAUGCUACUCUCUUCUGCAACUGCCGUAGUAGUUACAGAGAGAGGGGAGAGAGCUCCAACACAAUAGUUUUCCAUUGAGAAAACCAAAGUAAAACCACCUCACAAACCCCGUCCAUAGCUGCAAUGGCAGUUGUAGAAUGCGGCCUCAUACCAAGCAAAAGAGAAAGAAUUUGGAAGAGUGAGUUUAUCAUGAAAAUGGUCUAGGUUCCUCGAUUUCACAUGAAGAAGCUCAAGCAGAAAAGAAGAGAAACCUCCGCCAUUAAAGUUUCAAGGUGAAAGCUAAGUCAAAUGAAGCUCAAGCAGGAAAGAAGAGAAACCUCCGCCAUUAAAGUUUCAAGGGUGAAAGCUAAGUCAAAUGGAAUAAGGAGUUGUAGACACUCUAGGCCUUGGCAAACUAAGUCAAAUGGAAGAGGUACAAGCUAAGUCAAAUGGAUUAGGUAGAUGUAUAGUAGUCUAGGUCAAUUUAUAUAUAUAGGCCAAUUUACAUUCCAAUAAGAUGUAUAGUAGUGUAGGCCAAUUUACAUUUCUUUAGGCCAAAAUUGUUGCACAAAGAUGGACGAUUGGAGCAGUGGAGUUCUCCUCUCUCACUUCUCUGUCUUCUCUCUCUGACCAAGUUAUAUGUAAAAAAGCCAUUGGAGAAAUAGAGUUCUGCUGUAUUAUCUAUCAAAUGGACCUGUUUGUUUAGUGAUAUCUGAAGACAAAAACAUGUGUUUUUUUUUUUUAUCAUUUGCAAUUUCUCAAAAUAGUAGCUGGUUACAUGAUUGCUUGAUUGGCUAUUGGUCUUCUGGUUUAUAUGUGAAAGGCUCUUGCCUUGGGGUGAUUGCGCUCAACACAGAGCAUGAGCACGGGGGAGCUUUUUCCUCUGCAACAUCAGAACAUACAUGUGCUGGUGAUACUGAUGCAAUGGUGACACGAGCUGGACUUCCACUAGAGGUCUGUUUAUGGUGUUAGAUAUACCAUGCAAAGUCUAGUUAUAACAGGUCUCUAGUGUACUAGUGUUGACAAGAUUUUAAAUUAUCCGUUUGAUACUGUUGUCCUGUUGCAGGAUCUUGAGUUGGUGCAGGACCAAUACCAUGAAUUUUAACCAUGGUGUAGGCAGGAUUUAAGUCUUUUUUAUUUCUUUAAUAGACAUUGGUUUAAUGCCAUCUCCUUUUUUUAUGUUAACACAUAGAAUGAAGUGACCAGUUCUAGUUGAGGCUGCCCCCUUUUGCUGUUCGGGGAUAGUCACAAAAUGACAUUCUAUUCAUUUUUGAACCAGAGGGUUCUAGUUUACAUGCAUUCUUAAUUCCUUGGUGGUGGAGAUUAAUAUGUUAUGCUGCUUUGAUUUUUCGUAUGUGACAUUUGCAGUAAUAUUUGACGUUUUAUAUCUAAUAUAGAACCACAUCUGUCUCCAUAUGAAUCACCUUCCACCAGAUGUGUAUCAAGAAGAGAUGCCAUCUUUGCAGAAGUUGAUGUUACCAAGGAGCCAAUCCCUGUGAUACCUACUGUUCAUUAGAUAUGCGUGGUAUCCCAACAAAUUACCACGGAGAAGUAUAAUAGAACUGCGUGGUAUCCCAACAAAUUACCACGGAAAGUAUAAUAUGGAACUAAGGAUGAUUUCAUGUGUCAUAGUUCCUUCGUGCCAGGUUGUUAGUGUUAUUUUGUUUCAAUAUCUGUCAUUACAAAUUGGUCCGUCUGCUUCAUAGGUUGUUGGUAUUAAAGGUGAUGACCAUGAUGCUAUUGUUCGUGGAUUAAUGGUAGCUGAUGAAGCAGUUUGUGCUUCAGUGCAUAGUGCUAACAUAUUUGGUGUCAAUUCCCUUCUGGAUAUCGUUGUAUUUGACCGAGCUUGUAGCAAUAGGGUCGUAGAAAUCUGUAAGUCGUGCAUGAUUGACUUCUUGUUGAAGAUUGCUGUUACUUAAAAUUGGACUAGUGUGGCUACUGGUUCAUGACAACAUGUUCUUUAUUUUAUGUGCUUGAGAAGCAAAAGCCUCUAGUGAUGAUGGGCAGAAGACUGUUGCGAGGUUAGACAAGCAAAGGAACUCAAAUAGCUCCCAGCCUACCAUGAAGACUCUUCGUAAUAUGCAACAGGGUGACGCAGAAACUCUACCUUUACAGAGAAUAUUGAACUAGA